GCAGGUAGCCCCAGUUUCGGCCCUGGCACCUGGGGGCAACUCAGGUGAGAGGGGUCCCGGGGUGGAGAUGGAGGCAGAUCGGGGAGUCUGCCUGUACAUUCACUCUCCAAUAUUCUCCAGGCAAUCCGAUUUACGACUUUUUUCUGGGACGGGAGCUCAACCCUCGUAUCUGUUUCUUCGACUUCAAAUAUUUCUGUGAACUGCGACCUGGCCUCAUCGGCUGGGUCCUCAUCAACAUGGCCCUGUUGAUGAAGGAGGCAGAGCUUCGGGGCAGUCCCUCACUGGCCAUGUGGCUGGUCAAUGGCUUCCAGUUACUCUACGUGGGUGAUGCCCUCUGGCAUGAGGUGAGGCUGGACUGGACGAGAGUGGGUGUCUGAGGGCUGCAUGGGGACUAAGCCAGUGCGUCUGGGUCUUGUCCCUGCAGGAGGCCAUCCUCACCACCAUGGAUAUCACACAUGACGGGUUUGGCUUCAUGCUGGCGUUUGGGGACAUAGCCUGGGUGCCCUUCACCUACAGCCUGCAGGCCCAGUUCCUGCUGCACCACCCGCAGUCCCUGGGAUUGCCCAUGGCCUCCGUCAUCUGCCUCAUCAAUGCUAUUGGUUACUACAUCUUCCGUGGGGCGAAUUCCCAGAAAAACACUUUCCGAAAGAAUCCUUCUGACCCCAGAGUGGCUGGUAAGCUGGGUCUCUAGGGCCAUGGGUGAGGUGGGGCAGCUG
rnacentral:sRNA from 1 species